rnacentral:lncRNA from 1 species
AAGAAUUGAAAACAAAAAUAUAUGUAUAUAUAAUCUGAUUUAUUAAAAAGAAGGAAAGUUCACAAAAUAUUUAUAUUACAUUUAAAAAAUAUUUUUAAAAAACAUAAAAUAUAAUUUUCAACUAAUAAAAUACUUUCUUCAUAUCUAUAUUUUCUUAGAUGAAAAUUAUAAAUCUCUACAUAAUGUGGUUUCAUUAAAUACAACUUACACAUAUAAUCUUGAUAUUAGAAACAAAAAUAUUAUU